rnacentral:rRNA from 1 species
CCUACGGGUGGCAGCAGUGGGGAAUAUUGCACAAUGGACGGAACUCUGAUGCAGCGACGCCGCGUGAGUGAUGAAGUACCUCGUUAUUUAAAGCUCUAUCAGUAGGGGAGAAAGUGACGGUACCUGAAAAAGAUUCUCCGGCCAAAUACGUGCCAGCAGCCGCGGUAAUACGGAUGGAGCAAGCGUUAUCCGGAUUUACUGGGUGUAAAGGGAGAGUAGGUGGCAGAGCAAGUCCGAAGUGAAAGCCCUAAGCUCAACUAUGGGAUUGCAUUAGAAACUGGCCAGCUUGAGUGCAGGAGAGGCAAGUGGAAUUCGUGGUGUAGCGGUGAAAUGCGUAGAUAUUAGGAGGAACACCGGUGGCGAAGGCGGCUUGCUGGACUGUAACUGACACUGAGGCUCGAAAGCGUGGGGAGCAAACAGGAUUAGAUACCCGAGUAGUC